AUACUACUCUCUUUUAAAUGUACGAAGGUGUUUCCUCCUUUUUUUUCAUGUCAAAAAUACCCCUGCUAAAAGUAACAAUUACUCCACUACAAUCCUACCGGAAUACCGAAGGUCGUGUUAUAACGGAAGACCGCGUCUGUUGAAUGACAUGCGCCUCUUCGGGAAUCACCACAGCCUUCGAACAUAAAGGUUGCAUACGCGACUCUUGGAUUAGCAACAUUGAGGGAAACAAGGGAGCAUUUCUAUGGUAACACCGUCUGAUGCCAUACGCAAUUCACACGCCACAAAUAGUUGUUUGUGAUUAGGUUUGAAUGGAAGGACAAUUGCUCACAAAAUUACAUAUUGAAGGGCAGAAAACCAGCCACAUCUACCAGUUCAUAGAUUUUCAACACAACGACGUCGUUUGGAAAAAAAAACAACCAAAUGGAGAGACAAUGUCUGCUAGGUAGAUACAAGUUGAGGUUGAACACUGAUGACAGUUUGCAAGGUAACCUUGGGUUGGCUGGUCUUGGAUUUGUCUUUAGGGACGAGAGGGGCUGCUGGAUGUUUUAACUUCUUAGAAGGUUGGCUAAUGUCAUGACCUUGAAUGCCAAACUUAGGGGCAUAUUUCCUGGUCUGCAGAUUGAAGAGUGAACUUGAUCAAGGGUGGAGCUCCUUCAAAUUCCCCCUCAUAAGGUGCUGGAGGAUGAAUGUAAAGAAAGCAUGGCAAGAAGGAAUUGGACUGUUGGCUAUAUUCCGCGGGAGGGAAAGAUGGGCCUCUAGCAGGAUACACUUGUGGAAAUUGUGUUAAUUUGUCUUAAGGAAGUUAGAGAGCUUCUUUGAGCUGAAUUUCACCAAAAUUUGUAAUCGUUGACUUUAGUUUAUCUUACUUCUACCCUGUAAUCCCAAAAAGAAAAAGAAAUGAUGCGUUGUUUUCUUUGUCAUCUUAUUUGGUUUCAAUAAUGAAU